AUAACUAGAUUAUAUGACCCGUGC
rnacentral:siRNA from 1 species